rnacentral:rRNA from 1 species
UACGUAGGCAGCGAGCGUUGUUCGGAGUUACUGGGCGUAAAGGGUGUGUAGGCGGUUGUUUUAAGUUUGGUGUGAAAUCUCCCCGGCUCAACUGGGGAGGGUGCGCCGAAUACUGAAUGACUUGGAGUGCGGGAGAGGAGAGUGGAAUUCCUGGUGUAGCGGUGAAAUGCGUAGAUAUCAGGAGGAACACCGGUGGUGUAGACGGCUCUCUGGACCGUAACUGACGCUGAGACACGAAAGCGUGGUAGCAAACAGG